UACGUAGGGUGCAAGCGUUGUCCGGAAUUAUUGGGCGUAAAGAGCUCGUAGGCGGUUUGUUGCGUCGGCUGUGAGAUCCCGAGGCUCAACCUCGGGUCUGCAGUCGAUACGAGCAAACUAGAGUGUUGCAGGGGAGACUGGAAUUCCUGGUGUAGCGGUGAAAUGCGCAGAUAUCAGGAGGAACACCGGUGGCGAAGGCGGGUCUCUAGUACGGUACUGACGCUGAGACGCGAAAGCGUGGGGAGCGAACAGG
rnacentral:rRNA from 1 species